UAGGGAAUCUUCCGCAAUGGGCGAAAGCCUGACGGAGCAACGCCGCGUGAGUGAUGAAGGUCUUCGGAUCGUAAAACUCUGUUAUUAGGGAAGAACAAAUGUGUAAGUAACUAUGCACGUCUUGACGGUACCUAAUCAGAAAGCCACGGCUAACUACGUGCAAGCAGCCGCGGUAAUACGUAGGUGGCAAGCGUUAUCCGGAAUUAUUGGGCGUAAAGCGCGCGUAGGCGGUUUUUUAAGUCUGAUGUGAAAGCCCACGGCUCAACCGUGGAGGGUCAUUGGAAACUGGAAAACUUGAGUGCAGAAGAGGAAAGUGGAAGUCCAUGUGUAGCGGUGAAAUGCGCAGAGAUAUGGAGGAACACCAGUGGCGAAGGCGACUUUCUGGUCUGUAACUGACGCUGAUGUGCGAAAGCGUGGGGAUCAAACAGG
rnacentral:rRNA from 1 species